rnacentral:rRNA from 1 species
AUUGAACGCUGGCGGCAUGCCUUACACAUGCAAGUCGAACGGCAGCACGGGUGCUUGCACCUGGUGGCGAGUGGCGAACGGGUGAGUAAUACAUCGGAACGUACCUUAUCGUGGGGGAUAACGCAGCGAAAGCUGUGCUAAUACCGCAUACGCCCUGAGGGGGAAAGCGGGGGAUCAAAAGACCUCGCGCGAUUAGAGCGGCCGAUGCCUGAUUAGCUUGUUGGUGGGGUAAAAGCCCACCAAGGCGACGAUCAGUAGCUGGUCUGAGAGGACGAUCAGCCACACUGGGACUGAGACACGGCCCAGACUCCUACGGGAGGAAGCAGUGGGGAAUUUUGGACAAUGGGGGCAACCCUGAUCCAGCAAUGCCGCGUGAGUGAAGAAGGCCUUCGGGUUGUAAAGCUCUUUUGUCAGGGAAGAAACACCGGCUCUAACACAGUCCGGGAAUGACGGUACCUGAAGAAUAAGCACCGGCUAACUACGUGCCAGCAGCCGCCGCGG